rnacentral:rRNA from 1 species
GUACUUAGUGGCGAACGGGUGAGUAACACGUGAGGAACCUGCCCCGAAGACCGGGAUAACAGAAGGAAACUUCUGCUAAUACCGGAUGCCCCCACCGGAUCGCAUGAUCUGGUGAGGAAAUGAAUUUCGCUUCGGGAGGGCCUCGCGGCCUAUCAGCUAGUUGGUGGGGUAACGGCCUACCAAGGCAUCGACGGGUAGCUGGUCUGAGAGGACGAUCAGCCACACUGGGACUGAGACACGGCCCAGACUCC